rnacentral:rRNA from 1 species
AUGGAGCUCCAACCAUGGCUGACCUUCCUUGGGAUUGUGCUCGCCACCGUGCUCUUCAUCAAAACGGUGGCUUGUCGACCCAGUGGACGUGGACACAACCUCCCUCCGGGACCUAAGCCAUGGCCAAUCAUCGGAAACCUCAACCUCAUUGGCGCGCUCCCACACCGCUCCAUUCACGCGCUCUCGGAACGGUACGGCCCACUCAUGUACCUCCGCUUCGGAUCCGUCCCGGUCGUCGUCGGAUCUUCCGUCGAGAUGGCCAAGUUCUUUCUCAAGACCCAUGACGUGGUGUUCACUGACCGGCCCAAAACCGCCGCCGGGAAGUACACCACGUACAACUAUAGGGACAUCACCUGGUCCCAGUACGGUCCGUACUGGCGCCAGGCGCGUAAGAUCUGCCUCACGGAGCUCUUCAGCGUGAAGCGCCUCGAGUCAUACGAGUACAUCCGCGGAGAGGAGCUGCGAGCACUCCUGCACGAUCUGCACGGAGCGUCCGGCCGCGUCGUGACACUCAAGGACUACUUGUCCACGUUGAGCUUGAACGUGAUCUCGCGCAUGAUGCUGGGCAAGAAUUACUUGGACAAGGAAGCGGCAGGCUCCGCGAUCACGACGCCUGAUGAAUUCAGGUGGAUGCUCGACGAGCUGUUCUUGCUCAACGGCGUGCUCAAUAUCGGUGACUCCAUCCCGUGGCUCGACUGGAUGGACGUGCAGGGUUACGUUAAGAGGAUGAAGAAGCUGAGCAAGAUGUACGAUCGGUUCCUCGAACACGUGGUCGACGAGCACAACGAACGGCGCAGCCGCGAGGGGGAGAGCUUCGUGGCAAAAGACAUGGUCGAUGUGCUGCUUCAGGUAGCCAGCGACCCCAAUCUUGAGGUCAAACUCAGCCGGGAUGGCGUUAAGGCCUUCAUACAGGAUCUACUCGCUGGCGGCACGGAAAGCUCGACGGUGACUGUGGAAUGGGCCAUUUCCGAACUCCUAAAGAAGCCCGAGAUUUUUGGCAAGGCAACUGAGGAGCUGGACCGCGUCGUCGGCCGGUGCCGCUGGGUCACAGAGGACGACAUUCCGAGCCUCCCGUACGUGGAUGCUAUCAUGAAAGAGGCCAUGCGGAUGCAUCCGGUGGUGCCGUUGCUGGUGCCCCGCCUGUCUCGCGAGGACACGACCGUCGGCGGCUACGACAUCCCGGCUGGCACACGCGUCCACAUAAGCGUGUGGUCCAUUGGCCGUGACCCGGCCCUGUGGGACGCGCCUGAGCAUUUCAUGCCGGAGCGGUUCCUUGACAGCAAGCUGGACGUGAAUGGGCAGGACUACGAGCUCCUGCCGUUUGGCUCCGGCCGGCGGAUGUGCCCCGGGUACAGCCUCGGCCUCAAGGUGAUCCAGAUGAGCCUCGCAAAUCUGCUGCACGGCUUCACGUGGAGGCUGCCCGACGGCGUUGCCGCGGAGCAGCUGAGCAUGGAAGAGAUAUUUGGGCUGUCCACUCCACGCAAGUUCCCGUUAGAGACUAUCAUGGAGCCCAAGCUCCCAGGUCACCUCUACGACGGGGCUACUGCGUUUGUGGAGUAA